AUACCUUUUUCGACCUUUUGGCUAAGAUAAGUGUAGUAUAUGUUCUUAUUAGUUUAAUAUCUGAUAUACGGUCUAAUGGAUCACAUGAUAUUAAGUUACUUUUUUAGGGGAAGAAGUCAUCAUAAUAGUUUGCUAUUGAGCUUCAUAAGUGUUGCAUAUGGGUUGCACUAUUGCGUAGUCCGACACACCCUAC
rfam:Medicago truncatula strain A17 chromosome 2, whole genome shotgun sequence.